CUCUCUCUCUCUCUCUCUCUCUCUCUCUCUCUCUCUCUCUCUCUUUCUUUCAGUCCCUGCUUGUUUGUUGAUGGGAAUCAAGAAUGCUCUCUUUCUCUCUCUUUCUCUCCCUCACCGUCACGCUCUGUGAAAACAUCCCCCCCUUACCACCCUACCCCGCAACUCAUUUUACUGUUUCCCACUGUUUCAUUGGCCCACGGCCCCGCGUGGACACGGUGCGUUGGGCUCGUUCGACAUUGGAAUGCUGCUUAAAAGCUCUACAGCAUGUGCGCAUGGCAUGUGAGCUCGCGCUGCCCUACUGACACACAUUUUAUGUUAAUGAGCUGCCGGGGCUCGGAGAUAAGCGCGAGGAAGCCAGCAGAGAUGCGAAAACAGAGUGAGAUGUCUCACUCGGAGGGGUUUUAUCAUCGGGAUUGGGAGAAGCGGCAUAUGAACAUCGCUUGGAUAGACGAUCUCUGCUUGAGAAAGCCGACACGUGCGGGGAGGGCGGACCUCAGCGUGACUCCCUUUUCGCUCCCCGCACCCCUCCCCCGCUCCGUCACGUUUGCUCUCUCCCGCACAUUGUGAUAGCUGGGAGUUUCACCGGAGAGCGGCUGGGACACAGCAAAUGUGAGCUGAAUUACAAUCUCCUCGCCGCAGGCGGAGGCUGGUGCAGAAUGAGGCUAUGGGGGCAAGGGCUGUUUAGGAUGAAACCUGCACCUGUUUAGGUGGUAUCAGACUCCAUCAGUUAUACAAUAAACCACAAAUAAACUGAUUUUACUGUCUGCUACAGCCAGUUUUAU